rnacentral:rRNA from 1 species
AUUGAACGCUGGCGGCAGGCCUAACACAUGCAAGUCGAGCGAGCGGCGGACGGGUGAGUAAUGUAUGGGGACUGCCCGAUAGAGGGGGAUAACUUCUGGAAACGGUAGCUAAUACCGCAUACUAUCGGAUAACCCAUAUGGGAUUAGCUAGUAGGUGAGGUAAUGGCCAACCUUGGCGACGCUCCCGAGCUGGUCUGAGAGGAUGAUCAGCAACAAGGGAACUGGGACACGGCCCAGAGUCCAACGGAGGCAGCAGUGGGGAAUAUUGCACAAUGGGCGCAAGCCUGAUGCAGCAAUGACGCGUGUAGGAAGAAGGCCCUAGGGUUUUAAAGUACUUUCAGUCGGGAGGCGUUACCGACAGAAGAAGCACCGGCUAACUCCGUGCCAGCAGCCGCGGUAAUUC